rnacentral:lncRNA from 1 species
UCUGUUCUCCUGCAUUGACAAUUGAAAUUAGUUAGUGUUUGAAACUAAAUAUCAAAAAUAAGAAGAAAAAGUAAAAGAUUUUCAACCUCCUUGUCGUGGAAGAUGCAUUCAUGAGAAUACACUUCAUCUCUGUUGUUCUUUUUCAAUAUGUCGUAGCUUCUUAUGAGACGUAACUGCAAUGCGAUUUUACUUCUUCCAGGUUGUAGAUCUUUGAUUACACCAAAGAGAGGAACCAUUGCUAA